rnacentral:lncRNA from 1 species
CGCGGAGCCCGUCGGGCGCCUAUGGAACUCGACCCGCAGGCCAAAGGGGCUCCGUUGCAAGGAAGAAGUGCGGGGUCCCGCCGCCUCCUAGACCGAGAUCGCGGUGAGCUGGCCGCGGCGCACAAUGGGCACGGCCUGGGCGGCGGCGUCCGUACUAUCGCCCUGUGCCUGCGGAUCCCGGUAACAUUGCGCGGCAGGCCCCAGGCCGGCCUCCCUCAGCUUCGCGGACUGUCUGGGCCGGGGGUCUCAACCUUGACUUCAGGGCCGGGCCGCUGGGGCAGACCCUUAGUGAUGUUCAGGUCCUCUGGGCCCCUGCCAGUCAAGGGACGCUCGUCGCGCGCCAAUUGUUAAGUCUUUCAUUGUUUCUGUAAACCUGCUGACGCCCUCCCAGCGCAUAGGGAGACUGCGCACGAGCCAGCUGGUCCACCAGAAGUCUGUGUUCUGCCUGUCCCUGCAGCACGGAGGGCUGGGCUUUAUACCUGUGCCAAGGACACCAACGGCAGCAUCAGCAAGUCCGUGUUGUCUCCCAAAUAAGU